UUACAUAUAAAAUUUAAUUAUUGAUUAAUCAUUGUUCUUGUCUGUUGAAAGCUGGCAUUUUCUUUAUCUACAAUGUCACUUCCAGUUAAUAGUUUUAUUUGUUCUUGUUGUUUUGGAAAAUUCAGUUCUGAUAGUCUUCAAGCUUGUCUUAAACAGUUUUAUGCCAAACAAGAAAAAAAAACAUUGUUUAAAGAUUACUCUUCCAUUGCACAAAGGAAGAAUAUAUAUAUGUUUAUUGCUGGAAUUGGUACUUUAGGUGUUUGGUAAUUUUAGAACUCUAGUUGUCAGCAUCAAAAAUUUGUUAAAGAUGCAAUCUAAAGAGUAGAUGUUAAUUUUAUAUGAUGCUUAAUUUUAUUUUCUCAUGUAAACCUAGAGAGAAGUGAUAAAUUUUUAAAAAACAAUUAAUUUUUUAUUAAGACAUUUUAACAUAUUCCAAGAAUUUUUUUUUCUCACUAGAGAGAAUUAGAAUUAAAGUAAGAUAAAUGUGCCUAGCACAAAUUUAAAAAAAAACAGUUAAUAAUACAGUUAAAAAAAACUUAAUUGGAUGCUUGUAUUAAAAAAAUAUAAUUUUUAACUAAGAAAUUAACUUUGAGCUAGAAUGUUUUCUCUGUUUUGAAUCAAUAUUAUAACCUAUAUAAAGGUUUCAAAUGCUCAACUUUAAUUCUCAAUACUAACAUAGGUCAUAUUUUUUAAUGGUGAUAUAUUUUUAUUUAGGACGUUGCUACAUUAUACCAAUGUGUAAGUAAUACAAUGCUUCAGUAAACACAAAUUACUAUUCGAUGCAGAAAGUUUAUUUAUAUAUUGGUUGUUUGUGUGUUGUUUUUUUUAACUUUUUAAACCCAUAAUCUUUUGUGCAUUCUGCCGGAAUUAUUUUCAUGAUUUCCUAAUAAUUAUCACCGUAGCUUAUAAACUUCUAAUUUUCUUCAAUUGUGGAUAAUAACAUAGUUUGGAUUAAUUUUCAGCCAAGGGACAUAAAUGUUAUGUGCUGUCACUGUCCAAUGGUUAAAUCAGGAUUUUUGGCGGGACGCUUGGAGCGUCUGCUUGGGUUUAAGGAGUUGAGUAAGGGAAAUUUUUUAGCACUAAUCAUUAUCGUGGGAAUAUGGUAAAAAAAUACGAGGUAAACUAAAAGUAGCUACAUAAUACAAUGAAUUAUGAAUGAAAUGAUUACAUGCUUCUAGUGGUGGUAGUUUUUGAUAUAAAAAACUAAGACUGAUUUAAUUUCACUUUCAUGUUGUUGUUUUCUUGUCUUAUAACUGAAAUGAAUUUGUUCUGUUUAUUUGCUCCAAGUAGUCAUGUUUUGUUUUUAUCACUCAUAUGUAGAUUUUUUCCUUGCAGUUAUGAUGUUAGGACAACAACUAAAUAUCACUUAUCACUGUUCUAGAAGAUAUGAACAAUUCAAAACUUGUCACUUUGUGCCUACAUUAGAAUACUGUAUAAAGCCUCCUAAUCUCAGUUAAUAUAUAGAGCAAAGCACUUUUCCAAAGUUAUCAAAAAUACUAUUUUCUGUAACUAAUAAUGUGUUGGUUUGGAAAAUUAUUUAUUCGUUGCUUGUUUGUAACAAUUUGAAUCCUUGUAAAUUGUUUCAUUUUAGGAAUUUGGUUUUGUAGGUGGGUGUAAAUUUUAUGUAGAUUGUUGUUAAAACCGUUAUUGCUAAUAACUGAUAAGCGUUUGUUGGAAUUAGUCCAUGCAGGUUAUUUAGAGGCCCUCAUGUAAAAAAUAUAUCAGAAUGAAAUUUAAAUUAGCCUUAUCUGAGAUACUGUAUCAAGUAUUUCACUCAGUUUCUAAUCUUUUUUUCUGUUAUUAUUAGCGACGUUUUUAAAAUGUGACUUUUGGUGAUUGGGAUUAAAUGAAUAGAAUAUCCAUUGUUCUUUCAAUCAUAGUUUUCUCUCAUCUAUGUAGCACUCUUAACAAAAUUAAUAUUAAAUACCUUGAUUGAUAGAAAAUUGAUGGCCAUUUUUCUUUUAGAUCUGUAAUCUUGAUCUUUUUCUUUUUUUAAUGUGUUAUUUUUACCUAAAUUUUUCUUUGAUUCCUACCCAACAGAUUUGGGCGUUAAAUGGAAACCUGUUAAUGUGUCCCCAGCACGUUGUCCUACUCCUUUUCUGGCUAUCCUAAGUUUUAGGCCCCCCCCGUCAUGCCGAGCAGUCUGUAAGGGAAACCCCGCGUCACACGGGAUCCAGGCUAGUUCAGGUAGGUGAAUCGAAAUGUGGAAGAUCACCUAACAAUUAGUAUUGUAAUACAUUGCAGGGACGUAAUUAUUGCCAUGUCUUUUAUGCCUCCACGCCAUAUAGUAAUGAUGUAAAUUUGAGAAAACUAUCUAAAAGUUCAACAACAGUUUUUUUUAGUUCCGACUUCUUAUCCCUACGUUAUCAAAGUUGUCCAGUUGAGCUAAGUUAUUUGCAAUAUACUAGAUAUGGUAAAGUUUUUUUUUUUUUUACUAUUCCUGUACCCAUUGACGAUUAUUCGGUAGCAAACGGUGUUGUGCUGUCUUGAGGAUAACAAAUCAUGUAUGCAGUAUAUAAAGGUUUGUUGUUGUUAUUUCUCCAUGGGUGAUAACAAAUCAUGUAUGCAGUAUAUAAAGGUUUGUUGUUAUUUCUCCAUGGGUGAUAACAAAUCAUGUAUGCAGUAUAUAAAGGUUUAAUUGUUGUUAUUUCUCCAUGGGUGAUAACAAAUCAUGUAUGCAGUAUAUAAAGGUUUAAUUGUUUUUAUUUCUCCAUGGGUGAUAAAGCAUAUUCAGUAAAUGGAGGGAACGGAAUAUAUCUUUCUGAAGAAAAAUGUAGUCGUAUGUAUAUCUUAGCCAAGUCUUAACGUUGUCAUCCAAAGUAAAGGUAAACAAAAUGUUAAACAUCUUUAAAUAUUAACAUGUAUUAGCAAUCGUAUUUAACUCAUCUUUUAUGACUUUUGUUAAACAUUUCCAUUAAAUCAUUAGUAGUGAAUCUAUAUUCAAAAAGCAUGGAAAAAUGAGAACUUGGGUUUAAACGCGUAAGAAGCUCCGUCCUCCAGGGUGUUCAAGUACUUGUAACUAAUAGAUUUUAUACCUCCUACAAGUUAAAUUCACACACUCGUUACUUUUUUGUAAACAUGCUUGAUUUGUAACGGGUUUUUCAGUAUCCUUUGUACCCUGCACUAAAACUGUUUUAUAGAAAGCCAUCAUUAAACAUAUCCUGUCUUCAUAAGCAGGUUUACCACUAAAACAGAUCUUGUUUAAGUGUUAAAAAUUAAUAAAGUGAAGUAUCAUUGCAGAGGUCUAGUUGUACAAUAAGUUAUUUGUCAUUAGUAUUUCACGUAAUGUGGUGUUCAGAAUAACUUAUAAAGUAAUGUAAUAUAGUAUUUGAAAUGUUGCUGUUGAAUGAAUGCAGGAAUACAAUGAUUUGGGGAUACCGUUUACAUCUUGAUUGUAGUUUAUAUAUAAUUAGGGUUGUCCUGGUGGAGCUGUUCAUUACGAGAAAUAUAUAUAUAUAUAUAUCGAUUUACACAUGGUAUUGGUGUAUGCUUCCUGAAAGCGUUUUGAGACAAUAGAAACUAUUCUGAUUAUGACAUUAAACAUCACAAGAUCUCUUAUUUUCAACAUUUUUUUUUAUUAGUGUUAUGUAAUAGUAGCAACUGUUUGUGUGGCAUCAGUGUGUAUUUCUGUCUAGGUUAUUAUAUAACUGCAUGUUUUGGAACAUCGUUUAUUUCACAAAAUUAUGUAAAAAUAACCAGCACUAAAAACUUGCAGGAAUUUUUAACAACUCUUACAGGCGUUCAACAUAGUUAAAUCCUAUACAACUGUUAGUAAUAAGUCGAGGUUUCACUGACACGUUUUAAACAACAUUCAGUUUCAGGUACGGAAGAAUUGGAAAUAGUUAAUGGAUUGCAUGUUCAGAAUUUGUUUGAAUGAGAGUAAAAUUUUGUAUUUUAAAUAGUUAUGCAGAAUUAUUCGUAUUAGUUAUACAAUGCAAGCUUAAUUAAGCCUGUUUAUUUUGUGGUUUACAUUUUUAGGAUUUAGCUUUUAUUUAGAUCCAGGUGUUGCCCAGUGAUUAUUGUGCCUGACUGUAGAUCUGUUAUUCCAGUCUUUUCGUCAGUAAUAGCAAACAAAAAAACGCACAUUGUAUUCCUGGGUGCGUUAUAAGGGUGACGUUGAAAUCCCACUAUUCGGUUAAACAAGAAUGGCUGUAGGAUAGUGUUGGCUAGCUGCUUUCCCUCCAGUCUAUCAAUUCAAAAUUAAGGAUGUCUUUCAAAUCGUGCUAUUGGGCAGAAAUCAGAUCCAGCCACAAGAAUCGCUUUAAACAUUUUAUAGUUCAUACUGUUCAGUCAUCAGUGUUUUUAUAUAAACGUUGAACUGGUAAUAUGUUCGAUAGGGUCAUUUGGUUGUGUUACAAAUAAACUUGCUUAUUUUGAAUAUGUACGUUUUUACCACGUGAAUGUUAGUUGUCUUUUAUAGGUUCUAAAUGUGUCAUUUCUUUAGUCAAAUAAUACGUUGUAGGCACAUGGAGAGACUCGGUUCUGAGUAUUCUUGAUUUUUAUUAAAUUAACAUGAAAAGUGCAGCUCACGGUUCCAGUAUCGUGUUUGAUUUGCCUUCUACCUGACCGAGUAAAGGUAACAACAACUGGUAGGGCACCAUUAAAUUACAGCCUGUGAUAAGUCAAGUUUACGAAUUAGAAUAUUUUACUCGGAGAAUAUAAGUAAUCAGGCAUGUUGCUGGUAGUCACUUACCAGGAAUCCAUAUGAUUCAAAAUGUAUAGUAAGGACAGUUGAUUUUAUAUCAUUAGACAAGGUAUGUUAACGAAACCUCUCAAAUGCUGUACCAUGCUAAACUUAUCAAUGUUUGUUUUCAGACUAAAAGAGAAUAUUAAAGAUCUUAUUAACUCAUCUUA
rnacentral:lncRNA from 1 species